rnacentral:rRNA from 1 species
GACGAACGCUGGCGGCGUGCCUAAUACAUGCAAGUAGAACGCUGAAGGAGGAGCUUGCUUCUCUGGAUGAGUUGCGAACGGGUGAGUAACGCGUAGGUAACCUGCCUGGUAGCGGGGGAUAACUAUUGGAAACGAUAGCUAAUACCGCAUAACAGUAGAUAUUGCAUGAUAUCUGCUUGAAAGGUGCAAUUGCAUCACUACCAGAUGGACCUGCGUUGUAUUAGCUAGUUGGUGGGGUAACGGCUCACCAAGGCGACGAUACAUAGCCGACCUGAGAGGGUGAUCGGCCACACUGGGACUGAGACACGGCCCAGACUCCUACGGGAGGCAGCAGUAGGGAAUCUUCGGCAAUGGACGGAAGUCUGACCGAGCAACGCCGCGUGAGUGAAGAAGGUUUUCGGAUCGUAAAGCUCUGUUGUAAGAGAAGAACGAGUGUGAGAGUGGAAAGUUCACA